rnacentral:lncRNA from 1 species
GUGACACCUGGCUCUACAGAGAGCAAAAGAUCCCCAGGUGACACAGGAACACAGACAUGGAUGGGCCUUACUGAAAUACGAGGCAGAGGAAACAAGGGCAGGGUGUGGUGCUGAGUUGUGGACCCAUUAGGGACCAGCUUUUUAUAACAGGCAGGCCAGCUGCUGGCUCCGCCUCAUUUCCUCCAAGAAGACUGGUGGGCACUGAAGAAACUUCAUCUUGAGUCAAUGGCAACGAUGGCCACUGAACAACCCUGCCCUUCACCUCAACUGCUACAAAGUAUUCCAGACCAUGGACAAGAGGACAGUGGAAUCAACUUUCCCCAUGUUGGGUCAAUGGUCAAAGAGGUACCAAGUUCCAUACAGCCUGGACUUCGAUGGAGCAACCAGAUACCCCAGGACUUGGCAGCAUCCCAGCUUUCUCAGGUCCUCCAAAGAUGGUCAACACCCUCCAUGUUAGCAGGAAGCAGUCUUGAGACUUCGACGCCCUUAUUCCUUAAUCUGCCAUGUCUAACACCCCACCUUUUUAAUAAUAAGUAAAGGUGGGAUUGAAAGGUUCAGGCAUUAUGCUGGCCUGCCCCUGUCACCUGGCAGAAUCCACUCAGGCAGCACCCUGGUCAUCCCAGGGUUCCAUGGGAACUAAGUCUGCACACAGGUAUAGAGGACCCCUUUAAAAGAUAGACCCCUGCCCACUUACACUCUCUUCUCUCUCUGCCUCUCUCUCUGCUUCUUCUCCUCUCUUCUAUUUCUCUCUCACUCACUCUCCAUGAAAUAAUAAACUGG